rnacentral:rRNA from 1 species
AUGGACUGCCGGCGACAAGCCGGAGGAAGGUGGGAUGACGUCAAGUCAUCAUGGCCCUUAUGUCCAGGGCGACACACGUGCUACAAUGGCCGGCACAGCGGGAAGCGAGGGGGCGACCUUGAGCGGAUCCCUCAAAGCCGGUCUCAGUUCGGAUUGCAGUCUGCAACUCGACUGCAUGAAGUUGGAAUCGCUAGUAAUCGUGGAUCAGCCAAGCCGCGGUGAAUACGUUCCCGGGCCUU